ACUCAUUUAUUAAGCAAGUCGAGAUUUUUGCACUUCACAGUCUUCAGUACAGAAUCGAGUUUUCAAUAUCAAGCCAAGCACAAAUGGGAAGCUUUCUGGGUUCAUAUGUUUUUGGAUAACAGAACAGAGGGAAAGGAAGCCAAACAAUGGCUGGCCCUUCCAUGGUGCCACGGCCUUCAUAUCCACAGAGGCCCAAAAUCAUCUUGACGCACCCUCCUCUGCCGCCUCCGGGUCCCUCUCCUGUAAUUCCCCUUCUUCAACGAUUACUUGCUCCUCCUCGUGAACAAGAACACGCCAAACCCAAACCAAAAUUCAUUGAAAUCCAGCAGAAAAUUCAAAAGAAUCAGUUGGCUAUAGAAUGCCCCUCCAGACCUGCUCCAAGCAUCGAAAACAAAAAGUACGAGGACAGUUGUUUUUCCCAAAUGGUUACUCAUGAAGAAGAAAAUUCCAAACGAGGGAGAUAUCAUGGAGUCAAGAAGAAAAAUGAGACUUGGAAGAGCAAGCUCACAGAAUCUGGUAAGCUGGUUUAUGAAUCUAUUCUAGAAGAAAAUGACGAUGUAGAUAAAAUUUUGGAUUUGGGUAUUGAAAAAUUAGCUGAAGGGGACUUGAUAGGCAUUAUAAGAGGGCUAGAAUAUGUUAGAGAGUGGAAGAAAGCUCUGGAGGUGUUUGGGUGGAUGAGGAAACAUGAGGAUUACAAGCCAACUUGGGGAGCAGUUUGCGUAACGAUUAGGCUUCUGGGCGAGGAGGGAAAAUUCUGCCAAGCUGUUGGCUUGUUUAGGAGUCUUCAGGAGGAAGGCUAUUCCAUGGAUGCUUAUGCCUAUAAUUUAUUGAUCACUGCCUUUUCAAAGAAUGGCAAAUAUAAUGAUGCAACAUUGCUUUUCCAGGAGAUGCAGGAACAAGGACUUGAGCCCAACCUCGUCACAUAUAAUUUGAUGCUUUCCGUGUAUGGGAAAAUGGGACCUUGGGAUAGAGUUACGGGUCUUUUUGACGAGAUGAAAAAUCGGGGUAAUAAACCUGAUGAGUACACCUAUAAUACUCUUAUCGGUGCAUGUCGUAGAGAUUCUCUUUGUGAAGAGGCAAUAAAUAUUUUUCAUGAGAUGAAGGCGGCUGGAUGUAAACCAACUAGGCUGACCUACAAUUCUCUGCUAGAUUUGUAUGGGAAAUCUCGGUACCAUGAUGAUGCAUUGAAAACCUUGCAAGAAAUGGAGACGAAUGGCUGUUAUCCUAACAUUGUUACUUAUAAUACGCUAAUAUCUGCUUACAGUAAAGCUGGCCUUUACAGUGAGGCGAUCGCUUUAAAGGAUGCUAUGUUAGGAAAAGGAAUUCAUCCUGAUGUUUUUACAUAUACCAGUUUACUUUCUGGAUGUGACAAAGCAGGGCGGCCAGGGAAGGCUAUGGAGAUAUUCAAGGAGAUGAAAAAUGCAGGCUGCACGCCAAAUCGCUGCACAUAUAAUGCUCUUAUUGUUAUGUAUGGGAAGAAAGGGAAAUUUGAGGAGAUGAUGAAAGUGUUUGAUGAACUUAGGUCUAGUGGGUGUACUCCGGACAUUGUUACAUGGAAUACUAUGUUAUCAGUUUUUGGACAGAAUGGAAUGCAUGUAGAGUUGUCUCAAGUGUUUAAAGAAAUGAAGGCUGCAGGCUUUGUGCCACAGCGGGAAACGUUCACUACUCUCAUUUGUGCUUAUAGUAGAUGUGGAUCAGUAGAGCAAGCUAUGACAAUCUAUAGUGCGAUGCUGAAGGCUGGCCUUUAUCCUGACCUUUCUACCUACAACGCAGUAUUGACAGCCCUGUCUAGAGAGGGUCUUUGGAGGCAAGCAGAGAAAGUUCUUAUAGAGAUGAGGGGUGGCCAUUGCAAACCAAAUGAAAUUUCCUAUUGUUCAUUGUUGAAUGCUUAUGCAAAUGGGAAGGAGAUAAAACGAAUGAAGGCACUUGCAGAUGAAAUAUAUGGGGGCAAAGUCCAUCCCUGUAGAAUUCUUCUCAAGACACUUGUGCUAGCAAACAGCAAGUGUAACCUUCUCCCAGCGACAGAGUAUGCAUUCUCAGAGAUGAACAGAAGGGGUUUUUUAAUAGAUUUAAAUACUUUCAAUGCCAUGAUUGCUAUUUAUGGGAGGUUAGGCCUGGUUGAAAAAGCACAAAAGAUAUUAGACUCUAUCAAGAAGAAUAGUUUGGCUCCUGAUUUAGUAACAUACAAUACUUUGAUGAAUUUGUAUGGCAAAAAUGGACAGUGGAGGAAAUCUGAAGAAAUCCUUAGAGAAAUGCAAACAAAUGGGUUGAAGCCAGAUUGUGUCUCUUAUAACACAGUUAUUUAUGCUUACAGCAAAGGUGGUCUGAUGCAUGAUGCUUCGAGACUUCUUACAGAAAUGAUAAAAUCCGGCCUUACCCCUAAUGUUAUCACAUACAAUUCAUUUGUUGCUAGCUAUUCAAAUCUUUCAAUGUUUGAGGAAGCUAUGGAUGUUGUUGAGUACAUGAAGAAACAGAGAUGCAAGCCUGAUGAGGCUACCUAUAAUGCAAUCGUAGAUGGCUUUUGUAAAGUGGGUAGAUUCAGGGAAGCAAUUGUAUUUGCUUAUGAUAUCAGGAGACAUGAUCAGUUUUUCAGUAUAAAAGCAGAAGCUAGGCUUGUUGAGCGCAUACAUGAUUUUCGAACUUAAGAGCUGUCAGUAAGUUUGCAGUUCAUUCAAGUGCACAUUUAUUUUUCCAUCAGUCUACAUUUCACAGAUUCCAAGAUUGGAGGAUGAUACAAAGAAAGAAAAACAACAUGACGGAGCCACACUAGGAGAUGGAUAAGUGACAUGAAUGGUUGAGAGCAUAGAAUGCUUUCAAGACAGAGAUAGGCUUCUUACUUCAGCCUUGCAAAGAACUUCUCUCCUGAAAAGUCAGUACUACCCCAAGCAUGUGAAAGGUUGGAGCUUACUGGUUAAAGACACAAAGACUAUCAAAGGUGCAAGUUCUUGUUCCAGUUCAAGAUGUCAUUUGCCUCAAUCACAGUUGUAGCAGCAUGAAGAUUUUCAAAACAAAGGAUGAUCUAAUUAGAGUUGUGUCUUCGAA